rnacentral:tRNA from 1 species
GUUUCCAUAGUUGAAGUACAACUGUGUUGUUUCAGAUCACAGGUCUUGGGGAAGCCCAAGUGGAAAUC